rnacentral:lncRNA from 1 species
UUUGUGCCGAAAUGCACCCAAACCUAAUCAUAAUCGAGUAAAAAAACUCAUUGAUGUGUGUUACUGUAACCGUAAGGGAUUCCUAGAAAAUGCCAACAUAUGAUAGCCUUCUAUAUAUUCCAGAAAUAUUUAUAUUCUAUGCUGACGAUGUCCUCUAUAUUUAUCUGAAUAUAUGUUUUUUCCGAUAACAUUUUUUAUUUAAAUAUAUGACUAAGGGUGAAGAAUUCUUUUUUUUCUUUUUUCCCUUGAAUUAUUUAUCUUUGUUUUUUGAAGCGAUAAAUUUUUAUAUUGUAUUCUGCUGUUGCUGCGUGUGCGUUCUUGAAAAUUAGGGCGAUGACACUGUCAUGC